rnacentral:rRNA from 1 species
CCAAUAGCGUAUAUUAAAGUUGUUGCAGUUAAAAAGCUCGUAGUUGAAUUUCGGGGUCAGUAGAUUGGUCAUGCCACUGGUAUGUACUGGUCUCACUGAUUCCUCCUUCCUGAUGAGCCGUAAUGCCAUUAAUUUGGUGUUGCGAGGAAUCUGGACUGUUACUUUGAAAAAAUUAGAGUGUUUAAAGCAGGCUAACGCUUGAAUACAUUAGCAUGGAAUAAUGAAAUAGGACGUUCGAUCUUAUUUUGUUGGUUUCUAAGAUUGACGUAAUGAUUAAUAGGGAUAGUUGGGGGCAUUAGUAUUCAAUUGUCAGAGGUGAAAUUCUUGGAGUUAUUGAAGACUAACUACUGCGAAAGCAUUUGCCAAGGAUGUUUUCAUUAAUCAAGAACGAAAGUUAGGAGAUCGACGACGAUCAGAUACCGUCGUAGUCUUAACCAUAAACUAUGCCGACUAGGGGUCGGAUGAUGUUGAUUUUUUAAUGACUCAUUCGGCACCUUACG